AGCUUUUCUCAGUGGCAGUAUUGUAGCCGUGAGGUUUAGCUGAGGCGCAAUUAUUACUAAUUGAAAACUUUCCCCCAAAUCCCGCCAUCACAACUUGAAAAAUAAUAAGCAUUGGCAAUUUUUGACAUUAUCCAUGGAGA